GUGAGAGAAGGCAGUGAGUGAGAGGGGGUAUUAGACAGUGAGAGGUAUUAAACAGCUGGUAGAGGCAGGCAGAGAGUAGCAGUGAGUGAGGGUAUUAGACAGUGAGAGAGAAGGCAGGUGAGUGAGAGGGGUAUUAGACAGUGAGAGGAGGCAGUGAGUGAGAGGGGGUAUUAGACAGUGAGAGGAGGCAGUGAGUGAGAGGGGGUAUUAGACAGUGAGAGGAGGCAGUGAGUGAGAGGGAGUAUUAGACAGUGAGGGUAGUAUUAGACAGUGAGAGAAGGCAGUGAGUGAGAGGGAGUAUUAGACAGUGAGAGGGGGUAUUAGACAGCGAGAAGAGGCAUUGAGUGAGAGGGAGUAUUAGACAGUGAGGGUAG